rnacentral:rRNA from 1 species
GGAGGAGCUUGCUCUUCCUGAUUAGUGGCGCACGGGUGAGUAAUGCAUAGAUAAUGUGCCCCUUAGUUCGGGAUAGCCACUGGAAACGGUGAUUAAUACCGGAUACUCCUUCUUGUCUCAAGGCAAGUCGGGAAAGUUUUUCGCUAAGGGAUCAGUCUAUGUUCCAUCAGGUAGUUGGUGAGGUAAUGGCUCACCAAGCCUAUGACGGAUAUCUGGUUUGAGAGGAUGAUCAGACACACUGGAACUGAGACACGGUCCAGACUCCUACGGGAGGCAGCAGUGAGGAAUAUUGCACAAUGGAGGAAACUCUGAUGCAGCAACGCCGCGUGGAGGAUGACGCAUUUCGGUGUGUAAACUCCUUUUAUUAGGGAAGAUAAUGACGGUACCUAAUGAAUAAGCACCGGCUAACUCCGUGCCAGCAGCCGCGGUAAUACGGAGGGUGCAAGCGUUACUCGGAAUCACUGGGCGUAAAGGGUGCGUAGGCUGGCUUCUAAGUCAGAUGUGAAAUCCAAUGGCUCAACCAUUGAACUGCAUUUGAAACUGGGAGCCUAGAGUUCAGAAGGGGCAGAUGGAAUUAGUGGUGUAGGGGUAAAAUCCGUAGAUAUCACUAGGAAUAUCAA